GACUAACGCUGGCGGCGUGCCUAACACAUGCAAGUCGAACGAGGUAGCAAUACCUAGUGGCAGACGGGUGAGUAACACGUAGUCAACCUUCCUUUUAGUGGGGGAUAACUAGCCGAAAGGUUAGCUAAUACCGCAUACGAUCGUCGAGCGGCAUCGCUUGACGAUGAAAGCAGCAAUGCGCUAAGAGACGGGACUGCGUC
rnacentral:rRNA from 1 species